AAGUGGGAUGACGUCAAGUCCUCAUGGCCCUUAUAGGUGGGGCUACACACGUCAUACAAUGGCUGGUACAAAGGGUUGCCAACCCGCGAGGGGGAGCUAAUCCCAUAAAGCCAGUCGUAGUCCGGAUCGUAGUCUGCAACUCGACUACGUGAAGUCGGAAUCGCUAGUUAAUCGUGGAUCAGAAUGUCACGGUGAGUACGUUCCCGGGUCUU
rnacentral:rRNA from 1 species